rnacentral:misc_RNA from 1 species
GAAGAGAAAGAAGAAGGAAGAAGCAGGAGCUACUGGUUUUGACAAAUUAGUGAGUUUUUCAUCUAAUUAGUGGUUUAUUUUUGAUAUAAUCAUACAUGUGUGAGUCAUUUUUUUUUUGGAUGGGCUCCUGGAAACAUCAAACCUCAUUGAUUAUUAUUAUUAUUAUUAUUCAUCUUUUCAAAUGGUCCAAAUUUGAACUUUUCUUUGUGGGGAAGGAUCUUAUUGUUUGUGGCGAAGGAUCUUAGGAUAUGAUUCCUAUUUAAUCUAUCAUCAGUUUGUUGCGUGACCAUUACAGUACCUGUUAAUUUACAGGCAAUAUCUAGAGCUUAUUCAAGAAAUCGUUGAAGUUGUGAUAGGAAAAAUGAGAAAAUCAAGUUCAGUAUCUGGCGCUGCAAAGAAUUUUGUUGGGAUGAGUUCACGUAUGGUGGAAAUGACUAUGCAUUUAGACAUGGGGCAGUUGGAUGAUGUUCACUUUGUGGGGAUUUGUGGGAUGGGAGGUAUUGGUAAAACAACAAUUGCCAGAGUUGUCUAUGAGCAAAUAUCUUCUCAAUUUGAAGGUAGCAGCUUUCUUGCAAAUGUUAGAGAAGUUCAGGAGAAACAUGGUUUAGUUCCUUUACAAAAACAGCUUCUUACUGAAAUUUUAAUGGAUUGGAACAUAGCUAUUUGGGAUGCUCAUAGUGGAGUUGAUGAGAUCAGAAAUAGGUUACGUCGGAAAAAAGUUCUUAUAAUUCUAGAUGAUGUCAAUCGAUUGGACCAGUUAAAAUUAUUAGCUGGUAUGUGUGAUUGGUUUGGGAAUGGAAGUAGGAUAAUUAUCACAACUAGGGAUGAAAAUUUGUUGACAUGCCAUGGAGUAGAUAAAGUAUAUAGGGUAGAGGGAUUAAGUCAUGAUGAAGCCCUUGAGCUCUUUUGUUUGAAAGCCUUUAAAAAUGAUAAUCCAGCAGAUGAUUAUGUGGAGCUAUCAGAUCACUUUGUAAAUUAUUGUAAUGGCCUUCCAUUAGCUCUUGAUGUUCUUGGUUCCUUUUUGUUCGGUAAAUCUGUAAAUGAGUGGAGAAGUGCAUUGGAAAGAUUGAAAGAAGUUCCUCAUCAACAAAUUUUGGAUAAACUUUAUAUAAGUUUUGAUGGGUUAGAGGAAAUUGAGAAGAAAAUAUUCUUGGAUAUUGCUUGUUUUUUCAAUGGAGAGGAUAAAGAUUAUGUGAUGAAGGUACUGGAAAGUUGUGGUUUCUAUCCUGAUCUUGGAAUAAGAGUUCUCAUUAAUAAAUCUCUUUUAACCAUUUCAAGAGAGAGAAUAUGGAUGCAUGAUUUACUUCAAGAAAUGGGUCAAGAAAUUGUUCGCCAAGAAUCACAUGAAGAACCUGGAAAAAGAAGUAGAUUGUGGCUUUAUAAGGAUGUAUAUCAUGUUCUAUCAAAUGAUAAGGGAACAGAACAGAUUGAAGGCAUUGUACUAGAAUGCAAAAGGGAAGAUGAACAAUUGAGUGCUAAAGCUUUCAUGAAAAUGAAAAGGCUAAGAUUGCUCAAGCUUCGAAAUUUGCGACUUUCACAGGGCCUUGAGCAUCUUUCAAAUAAAUUAAAAUAUCUUGAAUGGGAUGGAUAUCCUUUCAAAUAUUUUCCAUCAACUUUCCAGCCAGAUAAACUUGUUGAGCUCCAUAUGCGCUGUGGUAACAUGGAACAAUUGUGGAAGGGAAUCAAAGUAAGUAUUAUUAUUUAUGUUCAUCAUAAGUACUCUGAGUUCAUAAUUCAUUGGGUCAUUGAUGAUGCAACCUUCUAGAGCUUCAGCUAUUUUAAUUUUCUUUGUGUUUACAUUUUCACAGCCAUUAAGGAUGUUGAAGGUUAUCGAUCUAAGUUUUUCUGUUAACUUAGUGAAGACCAUAGACUUCAAGGAGGCCCCAAAUCUUGAAAAAUUGCAUCUUGAAGGUUGCACAAAACUGUCUGUGGUUCACCAAUCCAUUGGAGAUCUGAAAAGGCUUGGUUUACUGAACUUGAAGGACUGCAAAAGCCUUACAAGGCUUCCAAAUAGCAUAUGUGAUCUAAAGUCCCUUAAGUAUCUAAAUUUGCAUGGCUGCUCAAAACUUCAGAAAUUGCCAGAAAGGUUGGGUGAUAUGACAGGCUUGGAGAAGCUUAAUUUAGGUGGAAUUACUACCAGACAACUUGGAUCAACUAGACUCUGGGAUUUUUUUCUACUUUCAAGGUUUUUACUUUGGGAGAAUACCAAUCCUCUGGUUAUGAUGUUGCCUUCUUUAUUAGUCUUACCAUCAUUGAGGUCAUUAGAUUUAAGUUACUGCAAUCUGGUAGAGGGAGCACUUCCCAAUGAUCUGGGCUGCUUCCCAUCAUUGAAAACACUCAAUCUAAGCGGAAAUGAUUUUGUUAGCAUCCCUUCAAGCAUUAGCCAACUUUCUAAACUUGAAGAUUUUCGAUUUGCUAAUUGCAAGAGGCUUCAAUUAUUUCCAAAUCUCCCAUCAAGCAUUUUAUAUCUGAGCAUGGAUGGUUGCACUGCCUUAGAAACUUUGGCACCUAGAAAUAUCAGUAGACAAUUUGAGCUUGAAAAUCUUUGUGCCGUGAAUUGCAAGAGGCUUCAGUCAUUGCCUGAUCUUUCAUCAAGUAUUUUAUAUCUAACUGUGGAUGGAUUAACUGCACAAGAAACCAUUCCAAAUCCACUUGGAACACACACUAUGAGACCUUCAUCUCUGACUUUCUUAACUUACUUGAAAUUGAUUGAGGUUCAAAGCAAAAACAUUAUGGCAUUUGCAAGGCUGACAAGUUAUCUGCAUUACUUGCUAAAGCACAACUCACAGGGACUCUUUUAUCCAGGCUCUCACAUAUCCAUAUGUUUGGUUGGAAGUGAAAUUCCUUGUUGGUUCAACUAUCAGUCAGCGGGAGCUACAUUAGAAAUGCAGUUGCCUCCAUAUUGGUGGACUAAAAAGUGGAUGGGAUUCGCUCUCUGUAUAGAGUUUGGAUUCCAAGAGCCCUUAUCAGAUUCUUCUACUAUUUUAUGUGAUUUGAAAGCAUGCAUUGCUCCAGAUGAAGAUUUGUUUCUAGGUUGCUCUACUGUACAAAUCUCAAAGGACAUGAACGUUACAUCGGAUCAACUUUGGUUCAAUUACAUGCCGCGUAGCUCUUUUACUUGUCUGGAUAUGUGGGAAGCUUGUAAUCACCUUAAGGUUACUUUUUCCUCAGACGAAUUGAGGUUGAAGCAUUGUGGCUUUCGUGCAAUAUACAGUCAGGAUGUUGAUGAGAUGGUUUUGUGUGGCAAACCUUCUGAGAAUUUGGGUCUUCCCUGUAAUCAUAACGUUGACAAAAGCAAGAGAAGCAAUAGAGUGGAAUCCAAUGAAAGUGGCAACUUGACUGAUAGAUUGCCUUCCAAGAGACCGAGGAUGCUUGUGGAUCCUGAUACUGAAACUCAUGGCCAAAAAGAUCUUAAAGAAUAAGAAGUGAAAUUAUGCUUGUUUUUCUCUCUCUCUUCUCUUUUCCUGUGAAAUGUUACGAUGAUUUGAAUAAUUAUUAUGUUGAAUGUUUCUUCCUGUAAAUGAGUUGUUACUCUGAAAAAAGCAGUCUCUUUAGUUCAUUGCAUAUCUGUUUAAUGAAAAAGGUUCAAUCUUUUUGUGCUUGUUUAGUUUGCUGAUUGUACAAUGUUGGUAAUCACAGUGCAGGUGUUUUCAUCUUAUGAAACAAAAAUAAAUAAAUUUAUAUGUAAUGUUGAAUUUAUUCUUUCAGUUUGCAAAUUAAAUUUUCUCUAAUUUCAUGUUUAAUUUGAGUAAUUAUUUCUCGUCUUGCACUUUUUGUCUCUAUUAGAAUUUUGAUGAAAAUAUGCCUUAAGUCAUGAAGACAAUGGAGAGAAAGCAAGCUCGCUCAGUGGAAACAAGUGUUUAGGUGUAC